AAAAGUCGUAACAAGGUUUCCGUAGGUGAACCUGCGGAAGGAUCAUUAUCGUACAACUGAGGCGCGAGGGCUGUCGCUGACCCUCAAAGGUCGUGACGCUCGAGCGUUUCUCACACAUCCAUCUCACCCCUUUGUGCACCACCGCGUGGGUCCUCCUUUGCUGGGGGGCCUGCGUUUUUACAUAAAAACUUUUUGAUGUCAUAGAAUGUAUUUCUUUUUGCGGUGACACGCAAUUAAUAUAACUUUCAACAACGGAUCUCUUGGCUCUCGCAUCGAUGAAGAACGCAGCGAAAUGCGAUAUGUAAUGUGAAUUGCAGAAUUCAGUGAAUCAUCGAAUCUUUGAACGCACCUUGCGCCCCUUGGCAUUCCGAGGGGCACACCCGUUUGAGUGUCGUGAAAUAUUCAAAAGCCCCUUUUUCCCUUGAGGAAGGGUUUUUGGACUUGGAGGCUCAAUGCUUGCCCUCACUUUUUGAUGAGUGGCAAGCUCCUCUUAAAAGAAUUAGUGGGGUUCGCUUUGUCGGUCCUUGACGUGAUAAGAUGCUUUUACGUUUUUGGAUUCGGCACUGUCUGCCUGCUUCUAAUCGUCUUAUGGACAAUGAUAUAAAACCUUGACCUCAAAUCGGGUGAGACUACCCGCUGAACUUAAGCAUAUCAAUAAGCGGAGGA
rnacentral:rRNA from 1 species